rnacentral:rRNA from 1 species
ACGGGUGAGUAAUAUAUCGGAACGUACCCAAGAGUGGGGGAUAACGUAGCGAAAGUUACGCUAAUACCGCAUACGAUCUAAGGAUGAAAGCAGGGGAUCGCAAGACCUUGUGCUCCUGGAGCGGCCGAUAUCUGAUUAGCUAGUUGGUGGGGUAAAGGCCCACCAAGGCAACGAUCAGUAGCUGGUCUGAGAGGACGACCAGCCACACUGGAACUGAGACACGGUCCAGACUCCUACGGGAGGCAGCAGUGGGGAAUUUUGGACAAUGGGGGCAACCCUGAUCCAGCAAUGCCGCGUGAGUGAAGAAGGCCUUCGGGUUGUAAAGCUCUUUUGUCAGGGAAGAAAAGGCUGCGGCUAAUAUCCGCAGCUGCUGACGGUACCUGAAGAAUAAGCACCGGCUAACUACGUGCCAGCAGCCGCGGUAAUACGUAGGGUGCAAGCGUUAAUCGGAAUUACUGGGCGUAAAGCGUGCGCAGGCGGUUUCGUAAGUCUGUCGUGAAAUCCCCGGGCUUAACCUGGGAAUGGCGAUGGAGACUGCGAGGCUAGAGUUUGGCAGAGGGGGGUAGAAUUCCACGUGUAGCA